GUAAAUAUUCUAGGCUUUGUAGGCCAAGAGGCAAAAUUGAGGCUAUUGUGUAGCUACUUAUAUAACCAUAUACAAUGUAAUCUUUUAAAAAUGUGAACACUUAGCCUCAGCUCCAGAGCUGUACAUCCCUGUCACGUCAGUUCACCAGUUAAUCAGUCACACAGAGGCUGCCUCCUGGGUAUCCAGUCAUGCCUGCGAAGCCCUGAUCUGUCUCCCCUGAUCUGACUUUGCUCAGUUCAACUUGCGUUUAUUGCAAAUGCCAAUCUUUGGUUUGGGGAGGAGGUCGCAUGCUGGCAUUUCCUAGCCCACGGUAGACCUGGGAAGAAAGAUUUAGCUUGCUUCUACCGCCUCAUAAAAUUUAGAUUUUUUUUUCUAUGUGUCUGUGGGACAGACUGCUCUAUUUUCAGGGAAGAGAAAUAAGAUGCCAAACUGGGAAUUCUGCCUAUGACUCUGGCCAGUGUGUUUUUCGCUGAGCUGUUGGUGGAAGUGGACCCCCACCACCAGAGCAUAGGCCUCUUUCUCCUGCUGGCCUUAGACUUUUUCUGGAGGGGGCAUUUCACCUGCCCCACCCUCCUUAGCUGGUUCUUCUCUGGCUAUACAGGUAAGCCCUGGGCCGGGUGGCCUCUGUGUGCACAUGGUGUGUGUAUGGUACGCACAGGUAUAGCAGUGUCUACUCAUGUAGCAGUGUGCAUGGGUCUGGGGCCAGGGUAGCCCAGCCUGGAGUGACUCAACUCCAGACCACAGACCUCCAGACAGAGGAAGAUGCCUGUUACCUUCUCUUUUACUUGUCAUUUAUUUUCUAGCAUCAAAUUUUCCUCCAAGGGAUGUUUCCACUAGAAGGAACCUUACAAAUAAUCUGGUCUGUCCUGUUCGUUUCACAGAUGAACAAAGCAAGGCUCAGAGAGAAGAGGUAACUCACCCAAGGUCCCGCCUCCAAUUAAGGCAGGAUUGGCAUUGUUUUCCCUGACUCCUAGGCUUGAUUCCUCCCAGUAAUUCCACUCCAUGUCUUCUGCAUGAAAGCCUCCCAGUUCUCAUUCAGCUGCCCUACCUACACUCCUUCCUGAGGCACAUCCCUGCCAUGUCAGUUUAUCUGUAUCCAAGCUGCCUUUGAAGCCCUGAUUUGCCUCCUCUGAUUUGAUGUUACUAAUUUCAACUUGUGUUUAUUUCAAAUUUCAAGGCAGUAUAGGCAAUGGAAAUGUGGCAUAGCAAUGAACAGGGCCCCCCAAAGAAGCAUCUCACUAUCUAGGGGGGAAAAUGGAAGCAUUGCAAUUCCAGCGUACUUAGUACUAUCAUUCAUUCAUUUGUUCAAGUCAUUUAACAGAUAUUUACUAUGAGGCAGGCACCGUGCUAGACUCUGAGAAUAACUAGCAAGAGGUCUUCCCUGAUUGGAUUUCCAGUCUAGUGGGGAGGAUCAACAAUUAAG
rnacentral:lncRNA from 10 species